GAUGAACGCUGGCGGCAUGCCUAAUACAUGCAAGUCGAACGGAAGGACGAGAAGAUUGCUCCCCUGAUGUUAGCGGCGGACGGGCGAGUAACAAGUGGAUAACCUACCUAUAAGACGGGGAUAACAACGGGAAAAAAUAGAUGAUAACGGAUAAUACUAUGAACGGCAGGGAGCAAAGGAGAAAGGGGCUUUUGGCGACACAAAGAGAUGGAGCCGGGCUGGAUUAGCUAGUUGGUAAGGUAACGGCUAACCAAGGAAACGAUGCAUAGCCGAGCUGAGGAGGUUGUCGGCCACACUGGAACUGAGAACCGGUCCAGACUCCUACGGGAGGCAGCAGUAGGGAAUCUUCGGCAAAGGGCGGAAGCCUUACGGAGCAACGCCGCGUGAGUUGUAGAGGUCCUUGGAUCGUAAAACUCUUUUUUUAGGGAAGAACAUGUGUGUAGUUAACUGUGCACUUCUUGACCGUACCUAAUCAGAAAGCCACGGCUAACUUCGGG
rnacentral:rRNA from 1 species